UUGCUUUGGCAACACAUAUACUAAAAUUGAAACUACACAGAGAAGGUUAGCAUGGAUAACAUGCAAAUUUGUGAAGCUUUCCAUAUUUUA
rnacentral:snRNA from 1 species